UGUCGUCAGCUCGUGUUGUGAAAUGUUGGGUUAAGUCCCGCAACGAGCGCAACCCUUAUCCUUUGUUGCCAGCGGUCCGGCCGGGAACUCAAAGGAGACUGCCAGUGAUAAACUGGAGGAAGGUGGGGAUGACGUCAAGUCAUCAUGGCCCUUACGACCAGGGCUACACACGUGCUACAAUGGCGCAUACAAAGAGAAGCGACCUCGCGAGAGCAAGCGGACCUCAUAAAGUGCGUCGUAGUCCGGAUUGGAGUCUGCAACUCGACUCCAUGAAGUCGGAAUCGCUAGUAAUCGUGGAUCAGAAU
rnacentral:rRNA from 1 species